GUGGGGAAUCUUGCGCAAUGGGCGAAAGCCUGACGCAGCCAUGCCGCGUGAAUGAUGAAGGUCUUAGGAUUGUAAAAUUCUUUCACCGGGGACGAUAAUGACGGUACCCGGAGAAGAAGCCCCGGCUAACUUCGUGCCAGCAGCCGCGGUAAUACGAAGGGGGCUAGCGUUGCUCGGAAUUACUGGGCGUAAAGGGCGCGUAGGCGGACAGUUUAGUCAGAGGUGAAAGCCCAGGGCUCGACCUUGGAAUUGCCUUUGAUACUGUGUGUCAUGAGUACGGGAGAGGUGAGUAGAACUCCGAGUGUAGAGGUGAAAUUCGUAGAUAUUCGGAAGAACACCAGUGGCGAAGGCGACUCACUGGCCAGAUACUGACGCUGAGGCGCGAAAGAGUGGGGAGCAAACAGGAUUAGAAACCCGUGUAGUCC
rnacentral:rRNA from 1 species